GGUUUUCUAUUCGUUACCUUUGUUCUUUGUAUCUUUGGGGUCUUCCAUUCUUUAUCUGCCUUCUCUGGCUUUUACUGGGCAUUUUCUAUGAUUCCAUUCUCUCUCCUCUCUUAACACAUCAAUUAUACUUCUUUUAAAAAGCUUUUUAGUGGUUGCUAUGGUUUGCAAUAUACAUGUAUAACUAAUCCAAGUCCACUUUUAAAUAAUACUGUAUUCCUUAAAAUGAUAGUACAGGUUUCUUAUAACAGAGUACCCCAAAUUCCUCCCUCCUGUCCUUAUGACAUUCUGUUAUUCAUUCCACUUAUCCAUAAGCUGCAGUUAACCAAUACAUGGUUGCUGUUGUUACGUUGAGCAAAGUUAUCUGCUGGACCAAUUAGGGGUAAGAAAAAUAUAUUUCAUUUUACCUUCACUUAUUCCCUCUCUAAUGCUUUUUCUUUCUUUAGGUAAACCAGAGUUUCUGGGCUAUAUGAUAUUUCCUUCUGUUGAAGAGCUUCUUUUAGCAUUUCUUGCAAGGCAGGUCUACUGGCAACAAAUUACUUCAACUUUUGCUUAUCUGACAAAGUCAAUUUCCUUCACUUUUGAAGAAUAAUCUUUUUCUGAAUAUGAUAUUCUUCUUCUUAUAAUGCUUUAAAUGUUUCACACUACUCUCUUCCUUCUUGCAUGGUUCCUGGGAAAAGGUCCAACGUAAUUGUUAUCCUUGUUCCUUUACAGGUAAGGAAUCACCUCGCCUAUAAGGAAUCUCCUGGAUUCUUUCAAGAUCUUCUCUUUUUUCUUUGAUUUUCUGCAGUUCGAAUACAAGGUGGCCUGGGGUUGACUUUCUGGCAUUUAUCCUGCUUGGUGUUGGCAUUCGUUGAGCUUUCUGGAUCUGUGGUUUGGUGUCAGUUACAAGUUUGGAAAGUUCUAAACCAUUACUACAUUAAAUCUUCCUUCUGUUCCUUUCCUUCUACUCCUACUGGGGUUCCCUUUACAAGCUGCACCUGUUGUCGCUGUUUCACAGGUCUUGGCCAUUUUCUUCUGUUUUCAAAUUUAUUCUCAUUUCUUCUUGCUUUUCAGUUUGUGAAGUUUCUAACACCUUCCAGCUCACUGAUUCUUCCCUCAGCCGCGUGUGCACAUGAGCCACUGCUUCAUUUCUGGUACUGUUUCUGAUUUCCAGGUUUUCUUUUUGAGUCCUUCUCAGAGCCUCGAGCCCCUAGCCUGACCCCCGAGCCUGACCCUCGAGCCCAACCGCCCAGCCCGAGCCCCUAGCCUGACCCCUGAGCCUGACCCCCAAGCCAACUCCCCAGCCCAACCCCCCAGCCCGAGGCCCCCCCAACUGCGCGGAGCAUCAGCAGCAACACCUGCCGUGUGGGGCACUGAGAACAUCGUCAGCAUCCGCACGCCUCCCGGGACCGCACGCCUGCCAGGACCGCACACCUCCCACGACCGCACACCCCGCGACCACACGUCUCCCGUGACCGCACGUCUCCCGCGACCACAUGUCUCCCAUGUCCACACGUCUCCCGCGUCCGCACGCCUCCCGUGUCUGCAUGCCUUCCUGAGGCACCACGUACUCAGGACAUGCUCGCUGCCCACUCCUCAUGUUGCUCUGGUUAGUUUGGCCACAUGGAGGGCUCUGGGGAAAGUUUUGCUAGAGUGAAGUGUGUAUCUCAUGUACAGUUUUAAAUACACUGUAGGUUCACCAGGCACUUUAUGACUGAUUUAACUUAGUAGUAAAACAGGUAUUCAAAUGGCUACUGAAAAACACAGAAGGUCUGCAGAUCCGCGGCACGGCGCAGCCUGACACACAAGCUCCUUGGUUCCAGCUUCCUGCAGCACACGCUGCGUCGGAGCGCUCUCCCUCCCCACUCUCGCCGGCCGCUCCGUGCCUGAGCACACAGCACGCAGAUGCCGUGUCUCCCAAAACGGAGGGAGGAGCGCCACCGGCCGGCUCCUGCGAUUCUGUGUGGCUGAUCCUGCCAUGGGCCUCAUAGAAGGGCUUGGAUGCUAUAAUUUGGAAGGAUCUGAAGAUCUUCAGGUAACGGGGCAGUGACAAAUCAUUUUGCUGGCCAGAAUCUUGCUCUCGUCAUCAAUGAAAUCACCACUCAAGCAACUGAGAUAAGACUGCCGCGCAAUUUCACAUGAGGCGCUCCGUCUCCCGAGGGAGCACAAACACGGAAUCCGAACGAAACGACAUCGUUUGUGGCUCCACAGUUACAACGACGUGCAGGACACUUCACAUGGAUGUCAUCUGCAAUAAAUUGCCAGUGCAGGGAUAGAAACUGCAAUUCAUAGUCAGAAAAUCCAUAAUUAGCUGUAAUGAACAUUUAAAGUCAAAGUUCGACCCAACUUUUUCGGUGUUUACCCUGUCCCAUCAAUACGGUUCAGGGCACCCAUUUAUCACAGACAUCAGGACAUUGGGCCAGGAGCAUGUCCGGGGCCUGCCGACAGGAAGUCCGCAGCUUGCCCAGGUCUCUGACCACAGUACUUGUCAAGAGUAUGUCUGUCACAUCUGAGAAUAAUGACUGCUCGCCUCUUGCUAAAAACAAAAUACUUUUUACGUAUUUAUAAACAAGACUGUCAAGAGUGCUCAUUAAUUCUACAUUAGUGAAAUGCAGCCGUUAGCCGUGAUGCUCUGCGAGGACUGCAGACAUGGGCAGGAGUCCUCCAGCCCCCGGAGGCCACGGCACAGCCGGGAAGCGGCCUCCACUGGACAAAGCCAAGCCCCUGGGGCACCGAAAAGUCGAUCCGGUGCGGGCCACACAGGAGAUCCAGACCCCGGCUAACCUGGGCCCUGGCUGGGGCUGCACUGGUGGGACCCUAGUCUCUGAAGGCAGCCUGGGAGCUAAUGGGCAACUGAAGCUCCCGGUCACCACCAUCAGGCUUCCACACCAACUGGCGACCAGGGCGCAACGAACCCUGCGUACCAUGGGGGCUCAGUGCCUCUCACAGGGGCGGCUAGUGAAGAUGGAGUAUUUACAAAUGCUAUUAAAACAACCUCUCAACUUCAAUUGGAGUCCGGUAAUGUGAUAAAUGGCCACACCGUGUCACUUAGCUUGAUUUCGGGAGCUGAAUUCUGAUAGCGGGCCCACUUUGCAAACACAGCCAACUCAGGGCGGGAGCAGACCACUUCUCACACAUUCAGAAAGAACAACGCGUCCCGGCAGGCACUGUGCAAUCACAAAGCCCGUGUUUGUUGAGCAGGGUCCCACCUCCCGGACGGAGCCACGGGCUGGAAGGCUCGGGAUGACUCAGGCCGGGGCAGAGGCUGACAAGCCAGGAACACAAAGCUGCCAUUGGAAAUGCCUCCAUCACUUUUUAUUUGCAA
rnacentral:lncRNA from 1 species